rnacentral:rRNA from 1 species
UACAGAGGGUGCAAGCGUUACUCGGAAUUACUGGGCGUAAAGCGCAUGUAGGUGGGUCUACAAGUUUGAUGUGAAAGCCCUGGGCUUAACCUGGGAAUGGCGUUGAAGACUGUAGGUCUAGAGUUUGGCAGAGGGUCGUGGAAUUUCCGGUGUAGCGGUGAAAUGCGUAGAGAUCGGAAAGAACACCAGUGGCGAAGGCGGCGGCCUGGGCCAAAACUGACACUGAGGUGCGAAAGCGUGGGGAGCGAACAGG